GACGAACGCUGGCGGCGUGCCUAACACAUGCAAGUCGAGCGGGGUUGAGGCGAGAGGUAACUCGAACUUCUACCUAGCGGCGGACGGGUGAGUAACGCGUGGGCAACCUGCCUCAAGGUUUGGGAUAACAGCCCGAAAGGGCUGCUAAUACCGGAUAUGCCUAUGGCCUCGCAUGGGGCUAUGAGCAAAGGGGAAACCCGCCUUGAGAUGGGCCCGCGUCCCAUCAGCUAGUUGGUGAGGUAACAGCUCACCAAGGCGACGACGGGUAGCCGGCCUGAGAGGGUGACCGGCCACACUGGGACUGAGACACGGCCCAGACUCCUACGGGGGGCAGCAGUGGGGGAUCUUGCACAAUGGGCGAAAGCCUGAUGCAGCGACGCCGCGUGAGCGAAGAAGGCCUUGGGUUGUAAAGCUCUGUCUGGAGGGACGAACAAAUGACGGUACCUCCGGAGGAAGCCACGGCUAACUACGUGGCCAGCAGCCGCGGUAACGCAUACUCGUA
rnacentral:rRNA from 1 species